CCUACGGGUGGCAGCAGUGAGGAAUAUUGGUCAAUGGGCGAAAGCCUGAACCAGCCAUGCCGCGUGCAGGAAGACGGCUCUAUGAGUUGUAAACUGCUUUUGUACGAGGGUAAACAGAGAUACGUGUACCUGCUUGAAAGUAACGUACGAAUCAGGAUCGGCUAACUCCGUUCCAGCCACCGCGGUCAUACGGAGGAUCCACGCGUUAUCCGGAUUUAGUGGGUUUACAGGGAGCGUAGGCGGUUUAGUAAGUCAGCUGUGAAAUUUUGGGGCUCAACAACAAACGUGCCGUUGAUACUGCUGAGCUAGAGAGUAGUUGCGGUAGGCGGAAUGUAUGGUGUAGCGGUGAAAUGCUUAGAGAUCAUACAGAACACCGAUUGCGAAGGCAGCUUACCAAACUAUAUCUGACGUUGAGGCUCGAAAGCGUGGGGAGCAAACAGGAUUAGAUACCCUAGUAGUC
rnacentral:rRNA from 1 species